CGUUGAGUUUUGCUAACUCAGGUUUAGCCGGUCAGAUUAGAAACUGUCUGGAACAAACCGCUGAACUGCGUUAGUUAGCCUGUUAUAACAUGAAGAAACAGGGGCUCAUAUUAUUAUUUAUAUGUUAUUUGUUGAAUUAUAAACUAAGCUCCAAACUUAAUAUUUAGCUUGAUAUCUAAACAUUUAGUCUGAAGCUAAAUAUUUUGUUAAAUAUUUUGCUAUAAAUAUUUAGCUUUAAGCUCAAACCAAUUAGCUAAAUGUAGCUAACUACUUUUGUAUCUCUACAUUUGGAAAUAAAUAUUUAGUUUGAAACUGACAUCUACAAGUGAAUGAAUAACAGUUAAAGCUCCAUUGUUUUUUAUUAUGAAAGGAUAAAUAAGUCAGAUCAUUGCUGUGAGUUUGUCAGCGUUCCUCAGCAGCGUAUCGUUAGCUGCCCUGUCGUUAGUUCAAGAUGAUUUUUUUGUUUUUUGGCCACUUGCUCAAAAUGAGGAGAGGAAAAGGAACUGCUGGCUGAAAGAGUUCAAAAUAAGAGCAUGGAUGUAAACGGCCAAUGGGGUAUAUGCCACGGACUAACGUUUUAACACUUCCGCAUUUUUUUGCCACAUGGUUCCGGUCCACAGGCAACAGGACGUUAACAGUGGCUCCUCAGUCGCUUUAGGACUAUUAAUGAUGCCUGUAUAAUUAUUCAGACGUCCUGAAACGCUCCAACAACAACAAAGGAUUUAAGCUGGAUGUGUCAAAACUUCACAAUAACUUAGAAGUUGGAGUUGGACAGAGUUCUGUUUGGUGGCUUCCUGGAGGGAGAGAUCGGCUGAACUAAUGUUGCCAUCAACUUUUCUCCUAUUAACUUUUUUGCUUUUCUUUAUAUAGAAAGUAUUUCUAUCAGUUGCUCUUUUUCCAUUUUGUUUACAGUAUUUGCUCUAUUUUUUAUUUUUACCUUAAUGCUUACCUGGUCAGGUGAGGUGGAAAUGUACAUCCUGUUGAUUACUGACAAAAUGUCUAAAACAUCUUCUUGUAAUUUUAAGACAUUGUUAUAAAAUUGCACCUUUAUUCUGCUGUAACGAUGACUGCAUUCUUGUAAUUAAAAUUUCUUGUAUCCUGAGCGUAAUGCUCCCUCAUACAACUCACAGAACAGAUGGUUGAAAUAAAGGCACUUUUUGAAAAUAUUUUCUGUGAUUUUAUUAUAGAAAUUGAGGGCAGGAGGAAUCGAUUAAAAUCAAAUCUGGUAUGAAAAAAAAUCUUGUAAGUCACAUCAUCCAGCCUUAUUCAGUAUAUUAAAUUAUAUGACUAAUUACAUAUUGCUUAAUAUUCACAUUUCUUUGCUGGCAUUACCUAAAUGUGUUGCAUUUUAAUAUCUCACUUGAAUUCCUGAUCAACAUGCAAAUACUUGAUAUAAACACAGAAAAGGGAAAAAAGGUUUGUAAAAUGUAGAGUAUUACAAAUGAGAUUCAGUUUUAUUGUAGGUACAAACAGGAUAAAAUGAACAGUGAAUAUAUAAUAUACUUCCUAGCAGCUAAUCAGACAUCAGACUUGUUUGCCUUUACUGGUGAUGAAAACUCGUCAAGAGAGGAAGAGGAGAGAGGAAGAGGAGAGAGGAAGAGCGGCUCAGCCCCGUCCAGGAUGACUGCAGUGUCAGGGUAGCCAACAAAGUCUCUGCAGGCAGAUUUUUGCAUAUCUGGUGCUCCGGUUUCCAGAUCAUAGUUUAACCAAGUAAAUAAAAAGUUAGUCCACGUUGUGAUGAUCCGGCAGUCGGUGGACUGAUGGACGCCGUCAGCUGGUCCAGGUGCUUGGAUCCAAUGGAAAGGUAAUCGGCACAGCGAUCAUGGCUCAGAAACACGAGGUGUUGCAAUGCAAACCUGAAAAAUUAAAAACAAACAAAAAACUAAUAAACGUCCAUAUUUAUCCAUAUUUAGCUGCACAACGUAAUCAAAACUAAUAAAUCCUCAGCUCCUUUUGAGAGUUUUGCUUGAAAAUAAGCUGACAAUAUCUCAGGAAAUUAAAUGUUUAAGUGAAAUAGUUCUGGUAUCACAAAGAAACUGCAAAAACUGUUUCAGAGGUGUAACAACACUGAAGUUACUGAGUAAGAGUGAACUAAAUACUACUUAGAAAAUGCAUGUUAAAAUCUGAAUACUCUUUUGAAAGUGUGCAGCUGAAAUUAAGGCAAAGCACAGUGUUCACCUGAUAUCUGCACCAACAGUAACACAAAAAAUGACGCAUAUAAGACGCAUUAGUUUAUAAAAGUCCAAACAAACCUAAAUUUACCAUUUUAAAAACAAAAAGCAGGAGGAUGUAACUUCAUAACCUCAUUUUCUAAGCAGAAUCUCAGAGGAAAAAAAGAGAAAUUACAUUGUGUAAAGCAAGAACAGAUUAUAGCAGCCAAGGGAAAAAUUCACUCUAACGUGGAUUAUAAUUAUGAAACAGCAAAGGUAGAUGUCAUAUUUUCGGUAUUCGGGAAAUAUGUGAUUUGUACCAUUUGUUCUGUGGGUUUUUUCAUGUGGAUCGGUGAAACUUAAAUGGCUGUAAAGUGAAGGUUUUGGACCUUAAUCUGACUGACUACCUGUGUGGUUUGGAUCGGGCUGAAGCGUUGCUGCUUCGGCUGUUUUUAAAUUACUGCUCGGUAUCGGAGGGGCUCGUUGCUCCGACUGCAUGUUAAAUGUAUUUUAUAUACAGUCACAUGAAAAAGUUUGGGCACCCCUUUUAUUUACUUUUAUCUCUAAAUAUUUGGAUGUUUGCAGCAGCUAUUUCAGUUUGAUACAACCAAUAACUUAUGGACACAGUAAUAUUUCAGCAUUGAAGGUUUAUUGGACU